UACGAAUGGAGCAAGCGUUGUUCGGAAUCACUGGGCUUAAAGCGUGCGCAGGCGGACAAGAAAGUCAGAAGUGAAAGCCCCGGGCUUAACCCGGGAACUGCUUUUGAAACUCCUUGUCUAGAAUUCUGGAGAGGAUAGGAGAAUUCCGAGUGUAGAGGUGAAAUUCGCAGAUAUUCGGAGGAAUACCAGUGGCGUAGGCGCCUAUCUGGACAGACAUUGACGCUCAGGCACGAAAGCGUGGGGAGCAAACAGG
rnacentral:rRNA from 1 species